ACUAUUAUAAUAUAUUAAGUAUAUUUAACUUCCAAUUAAAAAGAUUUUAAUAGUA
rnacentral:tRNA from 1 species